UACGUAGGGUGCAAGCGUUAAUCGGAAUUACUGGGCGUAAAGCGUGCGCAGGCGGCUUUGUAAGUCAGAUGUGAAAUCCCCGGGCUUAACCUGGGAACUGCGUUUGAAACUACAAGGCUAGAGUGUGGCAGAGGGGUGUGGAAUUCCACGUGUAGCAGUGAAAUGCGUAGAUAUCGGGAAGAACACCAGUGGCGAAAGCGCUCUACUGGGCCAUAACUGACACUGAGGGACGAAAGCUAGGGGAGCGAAAGGG
rnacentral:rRNA from 1 species